rnacentral:rRNA from 1 species
GACGCAGAGCCUGAUGCAGCGACGCCGCGUGAGGGAUGACGGCCUUCGGGUUGUAAACCUCUUUCAGUAGGGAAGAAGCGAAAGUGACGGUACCUGCAGAAGAAGCGCCGGCUAACUACGUGCCAGCAGCCGCGGUAAUACGUAGGGCGCAAGCGUUAUCCGGAAUUAUUGGGCGUAAAGAGCUCGUAGGCGGUUUGUCGCGUCUGCCGUGAAAGUCCGGGGCUCAACUCCGGAUCUGCGGUGGGUACGGGCAGACUAGAGUGAUGUAGGGGAGACUGGAAUUCCUGGUGUAGCGGUGAAAUGCGCAAAUAUCAGGAGGAACACCGAUGGCGAAGGCAGGUCUCUGGGCAUUAACUGACGCUGAGGAGCGAAAGCAUGGGGAGCGAACAGGAUUAGAUACCCUGGUAGUCCAUGCCGUAAACGUUGGGCACUAGGUGUGGGGGACAUUCCACGUUUUCCGCGCCGUAGCUAACGCAUUAAGUGCCCCGCCUGGGGAGUACGGCCGCAAGGCUAAAACUCAAAUGAAUUGACGG